GCGGGCAUCGUAUAAAGGAUAUUACCUCAGCCUUCCAAGCUGAUGAUGCGGGUUCAAUUCCCGCUGACCGCUACA
rnacentral:tRNA from 1 species